rnacentral:rRNA from 1 species
CCUACGGGUGGCUGCAGUGAGGAAUAUUGGUCAAUGGCCGGAAGGCUGAACCAGCCAAGCCGCGUGAAGGACGAAGGUGCCAAGCAUUGUAAACUUCUUUUGUCAAGGGACAAAAUCAGGCUCGAGAGCCUGACCGAGGGUACUUGAAGAAAAAGCAUCGGCUAACUCCGUGCCAGCAGCCGCGGUAAUACGGAGGAUGCGAGCGUUAUCCGGAUUUAUUGGGUUUAAAGGGUGCGUAGGCGGGCACGCAAGCCAGAAGUGAAAUCUGGGGGCUUAACCCCCAAACUGCUUUUGGAACUGCGUGUCUUGAGUGAUGGAGAGGCAGGCGGAAUUCCCAGUGUAGCGGUGAAAUGCGUAGAUAUUGGGAGGAACACCAGUGGCGAAGGCGGCCUGCUGGACAUUAACUGACGCUGAGGCGCGAAAGCGUGGGGAGCAAACAGGAUUAGAUACCCUAGUAGUC